rnacentral:rRNA from 1 species
AUUGAACGCUGGCGGCAGGCCUAACACAUGCAAGUCGAGCGGAUGAAGGGAGCUUGCUCCUGGAUUCAGCGGCGGACGGGUGAGUAAUGCCUAGGAAUCUGCCUGGUAGUGGGGGAUAACGUCCGGAAACGGGCGCUAAUACCGCAUACGUCCUGAGGGAGAAAGUGGGGGAUCUUCGGACCUCACGCUAUCAGAUGAGCCUAUGUCGGAUUAGCUAGUUGGUGGGGUAAAGGCCUACCAAGGCGACGAUCCGUAACUGGUCUGAGAGGAUGAUCAGGCACACUGGAACUGAGACACGGUCCAGACUCCUACGGGAGGCAGCAGUGGGGAAUAUUGGACAAUGGGCGAAAGCCUGAUCCAGCCAUGCCGCGUGUGUGAAGAAGGUCUUCGGAUUGUAAAGCACUUUAAGUUGGGAGGAAGGGCAGUAAGUUAAUACCUUGCUGUUUUGACGUUACCAACAGAAUAAGCACCGGCUAACUUCGUG